ensembl:miRNA MIR676 microRNA 676
GCAUGACUCUUCAACCUCAGGACUUGCAGAAUUAAUGGAAUGCUGUCCUAAGGUUGUUGAGUUGUGC